rnacentral:rRNA from 1 species
CCUACGGGAGUGCAGCAGUGGGGGAUAUUGCACAAUGGGGGGAACCCUGAUGCAGCGACGCCGCGUGGGUGAAGAAGCGCCUCGGCGCGUAAAGCCCUGUCAGCAGGGAAGAAAAUGACGGUACCUGAAGAAGAAGCCCCGGCUAACUACGUGCCAGCAGCCGCGGUAAUACGUAGGGGGCAAGCGGUAUACGGAUUUACUGGGUGGUAAGGGGGCGCAGACGGCGAUGCAAGCCAGGAGUGAAAGCCCGGGGCCCAACCCCGGGACUGCUCUUGGAACUGCGUGGAGGGAGUGCAGGAGGGGCAGGCGGAAUUCCUGGUGUAGCGGUGAAAUGCGUAGAUAUCAGGAGGAACACCAGUGGCGAAGGCGGCUUACUGGACUGUAACUGACGUUGAGGCUCGAAAGCGUGGGGAGCAAACAGGAUUAGAUACCCGAGUAGUC